GAUGAACGCUAGCUACAGGCUUAACACAUGCAAGUCGAGGGGAAACGACAUCGAAAGCUUGCUUUUGAUGGGCGUCGACCGGCGCACGGGUGAGUAGCGCGUAUCCAACCUGCCCAUCACUUGGGAAUAACCUUGCGAAAGUAAGACUAAUACCCAAUGACAUCCCACGAAGACAUCUGAAUGGGAUUAAAGAUUUAUCGGUGAUGGAUGGGGAUGCGUCUGAUUAGCUUGUUGGCGGGGUAACGGCCCACCAAGGCAACGAUCAGUAGGGGUUCUGAGAGGAAGGUCCCCCACAUUGGAACUGAGACACGGUCCAAACUCCUACGGGAGGCAGCAGUGAGGAAUAUUGGUCAAUGGGCGAGAGCCUGAACCAGCCAAGUAGCGUGCAGGAUGACGGCCCUAUGGGUUGUAAACUGCUUUUAUAAGGGAAUAAAGUGGGUCUCGUGAGACUUUUUGCAUGUACCUUAUGAAUAAGGACCGGCUAAUUCCGUG
rnacentral:rRNA from 1 species